rnacentral:rRNA from 1 species
AAAUUGAAGAGUUUGAUCAUGGCUCAGAUUGAACGCUGGCGGCAGGCCUAACACAUGCAAGUCGAACGGUAACAGGAAACAGCUUGCUGU